CCUUGUGUACACAAGUGAGGCUGUCUCUGG
rnacentral:piRNA from 1 species